UACAGAGGUCCCAAGCGUUGUUCGGAUUCAUUGGGCGUAAAGGGUGCGUAGGUGGCGCGCUAAGUCAGGUGUGAAAUUUCGGAGCUUAACUCCGAAACUGCAUUUGAUACUGGCGUGCUUGAGGACUGGAGAGGAGACUGGAAUUUACGGUGUAGCAGUGAAAUGCGUAGAGAUCGUAAGGAAGACCAGUGGAGAAGGCGGGUCUCUGGACAGUUCCUGACACUGAGGCACGAAGGCCAGGGGAGCAAACGGG
rnacentral:rRNA from 1 species